UACACACCGCCCGUCAAGCCACGAAAGCGGGGAGUGCUCGAAGUCGCUAUGUCCAACCGCAAGGGGGACGGUGCCUAAAGCAAGCUCCGUGAUUGGGACU
rnacentral:rRNA from 1 species